rnacentral:rRNA from 1 species
GACGAACGCUGGCGGCGUGCCUAACACGUGCAAGUCGAACGAGAAGCCGGUGCUUGCACCGGUGGACAGUGGCGAACGGGUGAGUAACACGUGAGAAACCUGCCCCGGAGACCGGAACAACCAUUGGAAACGAUGGCUAAUACCGGAUACCCCCGGCCAGUCGCAUGGCUGGCCGAGGAAAUGCUCUGGCGCUCUGGGAGGGUCUCGCGGCCUAUCAGUUAGUUGGUGGGUAACGGCCUACCAAGACAUCGACGGGUAGCUGGUCUGAGAGGACGAUCAGCCACACUGGGACUGAGACACGGCCCAGACUCCUACGGGAGGCAGCAGUGGGGAAUAUUGCGCAAUGGGCGAAAGCCUGACGCAGCAACGCCGCGUGAGGGAUGACGGCUUUCGGGUUGUAAACCUCUUUCAGUGAUGACGAAAAUGACGGUAGUCACAGAAGAAGGUCCGGCCAACUACGUG